AGAAAAAAACCUUGCUAUUUUCUUACAUUUAGCUGUGCUAAACUGUACAUAAAUGUGAGGUAAGACCAUAGGAAACUCACUUUAUGCAUGAUAAAAUAAUGCAGUAAAUAUUUCACGUUGCUUAAUGUUCAUGUAAAGUUCAUCUUUUUCUAUUUGUAGAAGAAUUUAAUGCAAUUUUGUUGUCCCCUGCUGAUACUGAAGAAUUCUAAUUUCAUGUGGUCUUAUGGAUAAGAAACUGCCAUUAACCUUUCAGGAAAGGCAGGCGUUUUGUGGUGGAUUUCGCUAAAACAAAAAUGCUGCUUGUGCUAUGGAGUUGUAGGCACUCUUUCCUCUGCCCCGUGUCUGUGCACUAUUACCUUGACCAAUAUUUUUCUAAAUGGUUUAAGGAAAAAAAAAUAACAAACCAGAAAAAAAGCGCCAAACAAACCCCAAACUGCUCUCAGUGCUCUGCAGUUUUAGCUUUCAGCCUGUGCUCAGCAAAAUGUGCACAAGGAGGUUUUGUUGAGUGUGUACAGAAUAUUUGAUUUACUUACUGCCUGGAAGUUCUAUUAUUGCUAAAGCUUAAACCACUAGCGAAACUUAACGCACUCACUUUUCUACUGGGGGGACAGUCUUAAAAUGCUCAUUGACUUUUCAGACCUGUAGUUCUUUUUACAGAAAGUAUUUCCUAUUGUAAGUACCUUUCCUGUACUAGUCUGCUGAAGUCAAGUGAAUUAAGUUGAUCACUCUCACAAGAGAAUAAAGGAGUCUUUAAUAUACAUAUCACGUUAAAAUAUUGUGAAUGGAUAAUGAUUUGAAAGUACAUGAAUAAUGUGUAAAAUACAUAAAUGUGUUAUUUGUGAAAAAGCAUCUGUUAUUUGGUUACCUGUUAAUGUAACUUAAAUUUUGCAAUGUUAACCUUAAGGAUUGGUCUGUAGGUGAUAAAUAAGUCUUUUUUUUCUCCUCCAUUCACUGAACUGCUUAUGUCGUUUUCAUUCUCACAAAUAAAACUUGUAUUUCUUUCUUCCACAAAAGCAGGUUUUCCAUUUAUUUGAUUUUUCUUGUUUCUGGUGGAUUUAACUAUUUUAGUGCAUUCCUAUGGCCUUACGGACAUUUUUGCAAAUAAAACUUCAAUUACAGUUAUUUUAAUGCUAUAUAGCUACUAAAUUCAGAAUAAAAACUAUAGUCCUUGAGAAAAUGCUUAGUUUUGAAAUAGAAGUGUUCUACUCUGUAUGUUCAAACACAUUUUAUCUCUGAUAUAAAGAUGUAAUGUGAAAAGCUCCUGCGGAUAAAAGUGAACUUGUCAUGUGGUUAACUUGUAAACCUGAUCAAUAAUUGUGUAUUGAUGUGUAUAGACAAAAAACCAAGCCCAACCCCUAUGAAAACCCCAAACCUUCACACUCCAGUGGUUUUAUUAUUCCAUGUGAACUUUUUUACAACAAUGUGUGUCUCAAAUAAAAGUUACAUAAUGAAAAGUA